UAGGGAAUCUUCGGCAAUGGACGAAAGUCUGACCGAGCAACGCCGCGUGAGUGAAGAAGGUUUUCGGAUCGUAAAACUCUGUUGUUAGAGAAGAACGACGAGGAGAGUGGAAGGCUCCUUGUGUGACGGUAUCUAACCAGAAAGGGACGGCUAACUACGUGCCAG
rnacentral:rRNA from 1 species